GUGAGUAGAGAAGAAGGAUUGAAUAAAAUAAGAAGAUGCAAUAUAAAGUCAAAUGACAAAAGGUAGAUUUUGGUGCUUUCAAGGAGAGAGUAGUAAGGUUUAGAAUGCUCCAAAAGAGUAAAGAGCAAAAGAGCAAAAAAAAAAAAAAAGAGUGGAAAAAAAGUAUUAGAGGUGCUUAUCUUGGCACUUAUCUAAGCUUAUCU
rnacentral:lncRNA from 1 species